rnacentral:ncRNA from 1 species
UGGCCUUAUAAUCAAUUAUUUCUCAACUUACACAUGCAAGUAUCCGCAUCCCUGUGAAAAUGCCCUCAAANCCCCUUCAGGGGUCAGGAGCUGGUAUCAGGCUCGAUCCUCAGCCCAUGACACCUAGCUAUGCCACACCCACAAGGGUACACAGCAGUGAUUAACAUUGACCAUAAGCGCAAGCUUGACUCAGUCAGAGUAAGUAGAGCCGGCAAAUCUGGUGCCAGCCGCCGCGGCCACACCAGGNNGGCUCAAACUGAUUAUAUUCGGCGUAAAGCGUGAUUAAAGCCAACUUAAACUGCAGUUAAACUGGAGCUAAACUGUANAAAUCCAUGANAUCCAGGAAACACAAAAACGAAAGUCACUGCAAUAAAAUCCACUUGACCUCACGACAGUUAGGACACAAACUGGGAUUAGAUACCCCACUAUGCCUUACCGUAAACUUUAACUUACACCAAAAUCGCCAGGGAACUACGAGCAAUGCUUAAAACCCAAAGGACUUGACGGUGCCCCAUANCCACCUAGAGGAGCCUGUCCUAUAAUCGAUGACCCCCGUUCAACCUCACCACUCUUUGNCCCAUCAGUCUGUAUACCUCCGUCGUCAGCUUACCACGUGAGCGACUUNCAGUAAGCAAAAAGGUCCCNCCACCAAAACGUCAGGUCAAGGUGCAGCUUACGCAGUGGAAAGAGAUGGGCUACACUCUCUAAUAUAGAACACACGAAAGACUAUUAAUGAAAUUUUAGUCAGAAGGCGGAUUUAGCAGUAAAACGAGACAAGAGAGCUCNGCUUAAACACNGGCCCUGGGGNUGUGUACACACCGCCCGUCACCCUCUUCGAAACCNCCUUAAAAUAGUAUUUANACACCACAUCUUUUAUAAAGAAGAGGCANAGUCGUAACAUGGUAAGC